GCGGCUUAAUGGGACAUUGUUAUUUUGAAAAGUGCGAUUUUGUAGAAGCUAUUCGCUGCUACGAAUUUUCUAACGCGAUGUAUAAUCGACCGGACGAUUUGCAUCUCGUACAAACGAGAAUGGGACUGUAUUACAAAGAUAUUGGCAAUUACGAGCGCGCGUUAAAAGUUUUCCUCAACGCAUGCCAGACUUCACCGACGGCAGAAACGUGGCUAGGUGCGGGAAUCGCUUUUUACGAGUUGCAGCGAUUUACGGAAGCGGAGGCAGCUUUAUCAGAAGCGAAUCAAAUCGACAAUCGUAACGUGACUGUUUGGAAGUACUUAUGUCUGUUAAAUAUGUCUUUGCAACGUCACGAUGAAUUCGUUCAGUGCCGGACACAGAUCGCUCAGGUGAAAUGUUAUUAACAAGAAGCGUUGAUUGAGGUUUUUGCUGUUUUUCAGUGAUAUGUUGUCGUUGUCUCGUAGGACGAUACGACUUUCUCUUUAGAAAAACGGUCCCUCAAACCGCGAGAUGGAAAACUGGUCAUGCUCUAAAUGCAGCCACGUAAUUACAUAUAAGCUUCUCCUCUCCUUAAUUCGGAGAUUCAGUCAGCUAUUCUACGACGAUCACGAUGAGAUUAUUGUGUACGCUAUUUAUACUCAGUCUGCUUCAAAUAGUGAUGUUUACUGCGAUGAUAAAUUGCGAUGAAUCAAGAAGCGUUAUACGUCACAAAAUUGGAAAAAAAGAUGAUGUUGAACGGGUCAAAAUAAAAGUUUUCCGUGGCCCUAUGCAAG